AUUGAACGCUGGCGGCGUGCUUAACACAUGCAAGUCGAGCGGCAGCGCGGGAGCAAUCCUGGCGGCGAGCGGCGAACGGGUGAGUAAUGCUUCGGAAUCUGCCCAGUAGUGGGGAAUAACCAGUCGAAAGAUUGGAUGAUACCGCAUACGACCUGAGGGUGAAAGCGGGGGAUCGCAAGACCUCGCGCUAUUGGAUGAGCUGAAGUCGGAUUAGCUAGUUGGUGGGGUAACGGCUCACCAAGGCGACGAUCCGUAGCUGGUCUGAGAGGACGACCAGCCACACUGGGACUGAGACACGGCCCAGACUCCUACGGGAGGCAGCAGUGGGGAAUAUUGGACAAUGGGGGCAACCCUGAUCCAGCGACGCCGCGUGUGUGAAGAAGGCCUGCGGGUUGUAAAGCACUUUUAGUGGGGAGGAAAUGCUCAGACCUAACACGUCUGGGAACUGACUUAACCCAAAGAAAAAGCACCGGCUAACUCUGUGCCAGCCGCCGCUGUAAGAC
rnacentral:rRNA from 1 species